rnacentral:tmRNA from 1 species
GGGGAUGUCAUGGUUUCGACAGGAGUAUGUUUGAUUUGGAAGGCAGUGGGUGAUUACCUACAAUCAAAAAAAUAACUGGAAACAGAAAUUAUAACAACGCGGUAGCUUUCGCUGCCUAAUAGAGUCUCACAAUAGACUUGCGCGCGACUGAUUGAUUUGUCAUUGGUUGAUCACCUCGCGUCAUUCACAAUGACUACCAUUCAUCUAAUCUAGGAGAUGAUUGGGACACUUCACUAGAUAAACCAAGCGGCAUCUUGUCUGUCAGUAGCAACUUGGUAAUAUGGCAGACUAAACUGUAGGCUUCUAAAUGGAAGGCGACUUCUGGACGCGGGUUCGACUCCCGCCAUCUCCACCA